AACGAACGCUGGCGGCAGGCUUAACACAUGCAAGUCGAGCGCCCCGCAAGGGGAGCGGCAGACGGGGGAGUAACGCGUGGGAAUCUACCCAUCUCUACGGAAUAACGCAUGGAAACGUGUGCUAAUACCGUAUACGUCCUUCGGGAGAAAGAUUUAUCGGAGAUGGAUGAGCCCGCGUUGGAUUAGCUAGUUGGUGGGGUAAAGGCCUACCAAGGCGACGCUCCAUAGCUGGUCUGAGAGGAUAAUCAGCCACACUGGGACUGAGACACGGCCCAGACUCCUACGGGAGGCAGCAGUGGGGAAUAUUGGACAAUGGGCGCAAGCCUGAUCCAGCCAUGCCGCGUGAGUGAUGAAGGCCCUAGGGUUGUAAAGCUCUUUCACCGGUGAAGAUAAUGACGGUAACCGGAGAGGAAGCCCCGGCUAACUUCGUGCCAGCCGCCGCGUAAAAC
rnacentral:rRNA from 1 species